rnacentral:rRNA from 1 species
UACGUAGGUGGCAAGCGUUGUCCGGAUUUAUUGGGUUUAAAGGGUGCGUAGGCGGCCUUAUAAGUCAGUGCUGAAAUAUCCCGGCUUAACCGGGAGGGUGGCAUUGAUACUGUAGGGCUUGAGUGUAGUCGAGGUAGGCGGAAUUGACGGUGUAGCGGUGAAAUGCUUAGAUAUCGUCAAGAACACCGAUAGUGUAGACAGCUUACUAGGCUACAACUGACGCUGAGGCACGAAAGUGUGGGGAGCAAACAGG